rnacentral:rRNA from 1 species
CCCUUAGAUGUUAUGGGCCGCACGCGCGCUACACUGAUUCAUGCAACAAGUUUUGUCCUUGGCUGAUAGGCCUGGGUAAUCUUUGAACGUGAAUCGUGAUGGGGAUAGAUGAUUGCAAUUAUUCAUCUUCAACGAGGAAUUCCUAGUAAACGCAAGUCAUCAGCUUGCAUUGAUUACGUCCCUGCCCUUUGUACACACCGCCCGUCGCACCUACCGAUUGAAUGGUCCGGUGAAAUCUUCGGAUCUGAGAGAUGUCUGAUUAAUUUCGGACGCCUUUUGGAAAAGUUGUUUAAACCUUACCAUUUAGAGGAAGGUGAAGUCGUAACA